rnacentral:rRNA from 1 species
GAUCAAAUCAAGCGCGAAAAGGGCGUUUGGUGAAUGCCUUGGCAGUAAGAGGCGAUGAAAGACGUGAUACUCUGCGAUAAGUCAUGGGGAGCUGAGAAUAAGCUUUGAUCCAUGAAUUUCUGAAUGGGGCAACCCACCUGAUACUUUGUUAUUAUUACCCUUCGGGGUAGCUAAUAAUGAGGUAAAACAGGUAUUUUUAGGCUGAAUAUAUAGGCUUAAAAAGGCAAACCCGGGGAACUGAAACAUCUAAGUACCCGGAGGAAAGGAAAUCAAUUGAUACUCCCCUAGUAGCGGCGAGCGAACGGGGACCAGCCGAGCCUCAAUUGUGGUUAGAAUGCGUUGGAAUGCGCAACCAAAGUGGGUGAUAGUCCCGUAUAAGAAGCAUGAGAGGACGUAUUAAGUAGGGCGGAACACGUGAAAUUCUGUCUGAAGAUCGGAGGACCACCUUCGAAGGCUAAGUACUCCUUACUGACCGAUAGUGAACCAGUACCGUGAGGGAAAGGUGAAAAGCACCCCGACGAGGGGAGUGAAACAGUACCUGAAACCGAACGCCUACAAUCAGUUGGAGGGGCUUUACGCCCUGACAGCGUACCUUUUGUAUAAUGGGUCAUCGACUUGGUCUCACGAGCAAGCUUAAGCCGUUAGGUGUAGGCGCAGCGAAAGCGAGUCUUAAUAGGGCGUUGAGUUCGUGGGAUCAGACCCGAAACCGAGUGAUCUAGGCAUGGCCAGGUUGAAGGUAAGGUAACACUUACUGGAGGACCGAACCCACAUCCGUUGAAAAGGAUCGGGAUGAGCUGUGCCUAGGGGUGAAAGGCCAAUCAAACUCGGAGAUAGCUGGUUCUCUGCGAAAUCUAUUUAGGUAGAGCGUCAUCCGAAUACCCUCGGGGGUAGAGCACUGGAUGGGUAAUGGGGUCCCACAGACUUACUGAUCCUAACCAAACUCCGAAUACCGAGGAGUACUAGAUGGCAGACACACGGCGAAUGCUAACGUCCGUCGUGAAGAGGGAAACAACCCUAACCUCCAGCUAAGGCCCCUAAUUCAUGGCUAAGUGGGAAAGCAGGUGAGACGACCAAAACAACCAGGAGGUUGGCUUAGAAGCAGCCAUCCUUUAAAGAUAGCGUAACAGCUCACUGGUCUAAAUAAGUUGUCUUGCGGCGAAGAUGUAACGGGGCUCAAGCCAUGAGCCGAAGCUGAGGAUGCAUUUAUUGCAUGGUAGCAGAGCGUAGUGUGACAUAAUUCCAUGUCUCUUUUGCGGGUUUCGACCCGUAUUGGAGACGCGGAGUUUUCUGUGAAGCUGGCGCGUGAGCGAUCCGGUGGAGAGAUCACUAGUGAGAAUGAUGACAUGAGUAGCGACAAAGAGUGUGAGAGACACUCUCGCCGAAAGUCCAAGGGUUCCUGCUUAAAGCUAAUCUGAGCAGGGUAAGCCGACCCCUAAGGCGAGGCCGAAAGGCGUAGUCGAUGGGAACCAGGUUAAUAUUCCUGGGCCAGAUGGAAGUGACGGAUCUCGAGGGUAGUUCAUCCUUAUCGGAUUGAAUGGGCUGCUUAGAGGUUCCUGGAAAUAGCUCCAUCGCUAGAUCGUACCCUAAACCGACACAGGUGGACUGGUAGAGAAUACCAAGGCGCUUGAGAGAACUAUGUUGAAGGAACUCGGCAAAAUACCUCCGUAAGUUCGCGAGAAGGAGGCCCGGUUUCUAGGCAACUAGAGGCUGGGGGCACAAACCAGGGGGUGGCGACUGUUUAUUAAAAACACAGGGCUCUGCGAAGUCGCAAGACGACGUAUAGGGUCUGACGCCUGCCCGGUGCCUGAAGGUUAAAAGGAGGGGUGAGAGCUCUGAAUUGAAGCCCAGGUAAACGGCGGCCGUAACUAUAACGGUCCUAAGGUAGCGAAAUUCCUUGUCGGGUAAGUUCCGACCUGCACGAAUGGCGUAACGACUUCCCCGCUGUCUCCAACAUAGACUCAGCGAAAUUGAAUUACCUGUCAAGAUGCAGGUUUCCCGCGGUUAGACGGAAAGACCCCGUGCACCUUUACUACAACUUCACACUGGCAUUAGGCCGAACAUGUGCAGGAUAGGUGGUGGGCUUUGAAGCGUGAACGCCAGUUUGCGUGGAGCCUCCCUUGAGAUACCACCCUUGUUCUGCUUGAUGUCUAACCGCGGUCCGUUAUCCGGAUCCGGGACCCUGUGUGGUGGGUAGUUUGACUGGGGCGGUCGCCUCCUAAAUCGUAACGGAGGCGCGCGAAGGUUGGCUCAGAGCGGUCGGAAAUCGCUCGUUGAGUGCAAUGGCAGAAGCCAGCCUGACUGCGAGACUGACAAGUCGAGCAGAGUCGAAAGACGGCCAUAGUGAUCCGGUGGUCCCAAGUGGGAGGGCCAUCGCUCAACGGAUAAAAGGUACGCCGGGGAUAACAGGCUGAUACUGCCCAAGAGUCCAUAUCGACGGCAGUGUUUGGCACCUCGAUGUCGGCUCAUCUCAUCCUGGGGCUGGAGCAGGUCCCAAGGGUACGGCUGUUCGCCGUUUAAAGAGGUACGUGAGCUGGGUUUAGAACGUCGUGAGACAGUUCGGUCCCUAUCUUCCGUGGGUGUAGGAUACUUGAGAGGAGUUGCCCCUAGUACGAGAGGACCGGGGUGAACGAUCCACUGGUGGACCAGUUGUUAUGCCAAUAGCAGUGCUGGGUAGCUAUGAUCGGACAGGAUAACCGCUGAAGGCAUCUAAGCGGGAAGCCCCCCUCAAAACAAGGUAUCCCUGAGAGCCGAGGUAGACCACCUCGUCGAUAGGCCAGAGAUGUAAGUGCAGUAAUGCAUUCAGUUGACUGGUACUAAUUGCUCGAUAGGCUUGAUUUGAUCCAG